rnacentral:rRNA from 1 species
AUUGAACGCUGGCGGCAUGCCUUACACAUGCAAGUCGAACGGUAACGGGCCUUCGGGUGCCGACGAGUGGCGAACGGGUGAGUAAUACAUCGGAACGUGCCCGAUCGUGGGGGAUAACGAGGCGAAAGCUUUGCUAAUACCGCAUACGAUCUACGGAUGAAAGCAGGGGACCCCAAGGCCUUGCGCGGACGGAGCGGCCGAUGGCAGAUUAGGUAGUUGGUGGGAUAAAAGCUUACCAAGCCGACGAUCUGUAGCUGGUCUGAGAGGAUGAUCAGCCACACUGGGACUGAGACACGGCCCAGACUCCUACGGGAGGCAGCAGUGGGGAAUUUUGGACAAUGGGCGCAAGCCUGAUCCAGCCAUGCCGCGUGCAGGAUGAAGGCCUUCGGGUUGUAAACUGCUUUUGUACGGAACGAAAAGCCUUCUUUUAAUACAGGAGGGUCAUGACGGUACCGUAAGAAUAAGCACCGGCUAACUACGUG